rnacentral:rRNA from 1 species
UACGGGGGGGGCAAGCGUUGUUCGGAAUUACUGGGCGUAAAGGGUUCGUAGGUGGCCUGCUAAGUCAGACGUGAAAUCCCUCGGCUCAACCGGGGAACUGCGUCUGAGACUGGCGGGCUCGAGGACAGGAGAGGAACGCGGAAUUCCAGGUGUAGAGGUGAAAUUCGUAGAUAUUAGGAAGAACACCAGUGGCGAAGGCGGCUCACUGGCCCGGUACUGACGCUGAGGCGCGAAAGCGUGGGGAGCAAACAGG